rnacentral:tRNA from 1 species
ACGCCCGUAGUGUAAAGGCGAGCACAACGGCUUUCGGUGCCGUACUGGGGCUUCCAACCCCUCGGUUCAGGUUCGAUUCCUGACGGGCGUGCCA